rnacentral:lncRNA from 1 species
UUUUUUUUUUCCAGAAAUGACUUUGGAUCAUAUAUAUGUAUGUAGACUUUUCCCCCUGCCAGAAAACUAAAAGUAUAGAAGCCAAAAAUUUAACAAGGAUUAUUUUGAGGUUGAUAACUGUUUUCUUCUUUUUUCUUUUCUAUAUCUCCCAAUUUUUCUAGAGUUUUUUCCCUAUGAUUUUUCUUCAUUUGGAAUCAGAAAAAAAAAAAAAAAACCCACUGCUAAUGAUUACUUUUUAGUUGAAUUUGAAGGAAAUCCUUUCUCGGGUUGAGUCCAGGUGUUUUGCUCGGUUGAGAAUGGACAUUGGUAAGCAUUAGUGGUUCAAAAUUCCUCUUCCUCGCCAAAUGAUGAAUAAUGGGUGGUUACUUUCACACCCACCGGGCUUCACGAGGUUGGAAAACGGAACUGGGCCCAGAUUCAUUAGACCGGAUGUAAAUUCUCCAAAAGCAGUUGUUUGAUUUUCUAACUCAAUUUAAUGCCUCUUCGACAUCAUUAGUAGAAUCAGGAGCCUCCCUUUCUUUGAGAGCAGCGAAAUGACUCAUUCUUUAGGCGUUCCCAUUAUGGUGCAGCGGAAGUGAAUCUGACGAGAAUCCAUGAGGUUGUGGGUUCCAUCCCUGGCCUUGCUCAGUGGGUUAAGGAUCCAGCAUUGCCGUGAACUGUGGUGUAGGCCACAGAUGCGGCUCGAAUCCCACGUUGCUGUGGCUAUGGUGUAGGCCAGCAGCUGUAGCUCUGAUUCGACCCCUAGCCUGGGAACCUCCAUAUGCCGCAGGGGGAGCCCUAAAAAGGAAAAAGGGGGGGGCAAAAAAAACCCACAACUAAUAAUUCUUUAAAACUGGGCCUCAGUUUGCAAAGGCUCCCAGACCUUGAGCUAGCUGGCUGGGCAAAGUCAAUAUGGGACUAUUUGAAUUUCUAAACUAAAGGGUCCCCAGAGCAUUAGGAUUUUUUCCCCCCUCUAUUCUUAUUGUGUAAAGGAAACUUUAUUCCAACUCAGAUUCAUUUCUCUUCGAAUCAGCUGCAAGAGAAUGAACAAACUUUGCUGCAAAUCAAGGCCCUGACAGUUAUAUUUCCCGGAGAUAAUUGCAUACUGCUUCGGCGUUUCCUUCUCCCCUCUGUUUCCUUUUGUUCUGACAACAAGAUUCUGGGAAAACAAUAUACAAAUGAUAACUAUGCUGUCCUGAGCAUACUGAAUUUUAAAAAUAAAUAACUGUCUACCCCAAAAGCUUCCAGGAGCCUAUGGAGUGAAUUCUUCUUCCAAACCAGAUGUGGAAAUGUUUAGCUAAUGCCCCUCCCCGUUCCCCAUGCAAAGAGUUCGUAUGUGUCUCUAAACAACAUCAGAGGAGAUGCAGAGGGAAAAUCCGGUCUGCUUUCAAGGAGCUUUGUGUUACACGUCUCGAUUCGCUCACCAACAUCCCAAAACUAAUUUGGACUUCAGCUUUCGUCUCUCUUAAAAAAGAUUCUCCCCCCACCCCCCGAGAUUAAAAACACACUGUGUUCAGACCAAUAUUCAAUCUCUUUCUUGUAAGACGUUAAGAGAUAGAGUUCAUAUUCCCGGAAUGAAACAUUUCAUGAUUUUCUUAAAAUGUAAAGGAUAUAUUAAGAAUUAGGCUUAUUAGGAAAACCUAAUUUUUUUUUUUAUGAAGGGGAAGGAGGAAAGCGCUUUUAAAAGCACGAUUGGAAAAUGUAUAUGCAUAAACCACAUUUAGAAAAACAGAAAGCUACUGUACGCUGCAGCUGCAAGGAAAGCAAACAUUUUGCAUCCAGGUGUCAUUAGCAUCAUUAGCAGCUCUGCUUUUGCCGGCCCCUCUAUCGCUCAGUUCAGGACUGUAGGUGCCAAUAGCUGAGCCCUGCUUGGCUCUGCAGAGGCAUCUAAGCUCCUCGCUUCUGAAAUGCAGCAGGGAUCAUGUGCAAGCAAGCCAAAAUGGGGUUAUGAUAAUGCAAAGCCUGGGACCUGCUUUCUAACAGCCCAGCCGCCUGGACAACCUGGGCGGUAACCCCAAGAUGAGCGCUCCCUUCUCCCCACUCUGCAACUGCCUUCGCUCCGGGGAGGCUGGGCACAGCCCCCACUCUGGCUAAAAAGGCCUCUGUUUUGGCACACACCCCCGCCCCGCUGCACAACCCUCUCUUCUGGCACCCCUUUCCCAUCUCUAGCCCCUCGGCCCUCUUUCUCCUCUGCCCCCAGAUCCGAGCCCAGCAUCUCCCUCCCUGUCCAAGAUCCCAUCCUGCCCGCACAUCUCAGCUGGAUGUUAGAAAAGCCAGCUGAUUUGAGGAAUUCACACUGUGUUGUGAAAUGACUUAUAACCAUCCCUCAGCAGACACACACCCACACAUUCCCCCCCACCCGUCCGCACACAUACAACCUCCACCCUUCCCUGGGAAUUGCAGGCAGCAGGGAAGGGAGGCUACGCAGAUCUGAUGACCUGUGUGUGCUCAGCAGAAGAGAGCAACUCCCCAAGAGCCGCUGAGCUAGGCGUUGGCAAGUUCAUUAGCAAGUGCAUUCUGCUCUCCCACGACCUCCCAACUCCUCCCUCUCACCUUCGAGAUGCAGUCUCUAAACGUGGGUCCCACUGACUUCAUUUUUCAGUUGUAUCUGAGCUCAAAGGUAUGUUGUCACAUGCGUUCAUUGCUCCGACCUUGUGGCAAUCUCUCCUUGGCUACAAGAAAGUCAGAGGAAACAGAGUCUGCCCUGUCCGAGUUUGGAGAUUUGCGCUAAAGAAACCCUCAAACUCAGUGGUGUUACUAAACCCCUUCCUUCAAGACUGAUUCAGUGCAAUGCAAUUCAACAAGUGGAUGCCGGGGGCGGGAGUGGGGUGGGUAGGGAAAAAAAAAAACGGUGAGGUGAGAAGGGAGAGGAUAGAAGUGAUGUUUGAAGGGGAGAAAGGAAGAGGGUGGCUAACUCCCUGCACAAGAACACAGCCUUACACUUGAGUCUCAAUUCUGGGUUUCGAACAACAAAGUUGGAGCGGAAAGGGGGGUUUCCCUGGUCGAUUUCAGCAGCGACGUAAGAGGGGGGCUGUUUAGGGCGAAGCACUCCUAAAGCAAGCUCAGGCCAAGGACCAGGCUUAGACCAAGACAAUAUGCAGCAGCGAUGGAGUGAUGCUCUCAGCUUCCAAAAGGAACCUCAGCAAACCUGCAUCAUCCCAGAGCAAAUGGUUUGCUUAUUCAACUGUUGCAUCGUCGUUAUCCAGGACCAGCUGGCAUCAGAAUUUACUUGGUUUUUGCUGUUAUUGUCGUUGUCGUUGUAUUGUCUUUUUUUCCUCUUUUUUUUUUUUUUUUUUUUGAGGGGUAAGAGGGUUGGGGUUUUUUGUUUGUUGCUGCUGCUUCUGUUUCUUUGGUUUGGUUUGGUUUGGUUUUUUGCUUCUUGAAAAACAAAUUUAAAAAGCUGUCCUGGAGUUCCUGUUGUGGCGCAGCAGAAACGAAUCCGACGAGGAACCAUGAGGUUGCGGGUUCGAUCCCUGGCCUCGCUCAGUGGGUUAAGGAUCUGGCGUUGCCAUGAGCUGUGGUGUAGGUUGCAGAUGUUGCUCGGAUCCUGUGUUGCCGUGGUUCUGGUGUAAGCCAGCAACUGUAGCUCCGAUUCGACCCCUGGCCUGGGAACUUCCAUAUGCUGCGGGUGUGGCCCUAAAAAGCCAUUCUAAGAGAGACAUUUCAGAACAAAGAGGACAGCAAGGAGCCUUGUAGACCUCUUAGGCUUCUCUUUACACCUCAACAUCCCCAAGAGAAUGGGGAGUCCAUAAUGAGAGAGGGAGAGAGGAGGGUACCAAUCAGAUUGAGUGCCUGAUGUAAAAAUCAAGCCUUUCUUCCAGGCGGCUGUACCCUGCUGGUGGGCUCCCCAGCCCUGGUUUCCAUGAAGGAAUGCAGCAAAUUCAUCAGUAUCAAAGGAGGAGAAAGAGCUGCAUUUUUACAACGAGGAAAAAUGGGAGGAGAGACGUGUCUUUGGAUGCUUUACAUUUAGUGCAGUGCUGG